rnacentral:rRNA from 1 species
ACGAACGUUGGCGGCGUGGAUUAGGCAUGCAAGUCGAACGAAUCCCAGUGGGGGUAACUCUGCUGGGGGAAGUGGCGAAAGGGGCAGUAAUGCGUGGAUAACCUACCCCCGGGACGGGGAUAGCCCUUCUAACGAAGGGGUAAUACCCGGCGAUUCGGUUGGGAGACAUCUCCUGGCCGGGAAAUGAGUUUCGCCUGGGGAGGGGUUCACGUGCUAUUAGCUAGUUGGCGGGGGUAAACGGCCCACCAAGGCAAAGAUGGCUAGCGGGUGUGAGAGCACGACCCGCGCCACUGGCACUGAGACACUGGCCAGACUCCUACGGGAGGCUGCAGUCGAGGAUCUUCGGCAAUGGGCGCAAGCCUGACCGAGCGACGCCGCGUGCGCGAUGAAGGCCUUCGGGUUGUAAAGCGCUGUCGAGGGGGAGGAAAGCCCGCAAGGGUCUGACCUAUCCCUGGAGGAAGCACGGGCUAAGUUCGUGCCAGCAGCCGCGGUAAGACGAACCGUGCGAACGUUGUUCGGAAUCACUGGGCUUAAAGGGCGCGUAGGCGGGCUCCCAAGUCAGGGGUGAAAACUUUCGGCUCAACCGGAAAAGUGCUUCUGAUACUGGGAGUCUCGAGGGAGGUAGGGGUCGGUGGAACUGGUGGUGGAGCGGUGAAAUGCGUAGAUAUCACUAGGAACGCCGGUGGCGAAAGCGACCGACUGGACCUCUUCUGACGCUGAGGCGCGAAAGCCAGGGGAGCGAACGGGAUUAGAUACCCCGGUAGUCCUGGCCCUAAACGAUGGGUACCAGAUUGUAGACUUGACAUGGGUUUUACAGUCGAGGCAAAAGUGUUAAGUACCCCGCCUGGGGAGUAUGGUCGCAAGGCUGAAACUCAAAGGAAUUGACGGGGGCUCACACAAGCGGUGGAGCAUGUGGCUUAAUUCGAGGCUACGCGAAGAACCUUAUCCUGGACUUGACAUGUGCGAAAGCGCUGGGAAGUAGCUUGCGGAAACGUUAGGCGAACGGUAUCCAGUCCGGAACCCAGUACAGGUGCUGCAUGGCUGUCGUCAGCUCGUGUCGUGAGAUGUCGGGUUAAGUCCCAUAACGAGCGAAACCCCUGUCUCCAGUUGCCAACACGUCAUGGUGGGGACUCUGGAGAGACUGCCGGUGUUAAACCGGAGGAAGGUGGGGAUGACGUCAAGUCCUCAUGGCCUUUACGUCCAGGGCUACACACGUGCUACAAUGGCAGGAACAAAGCGCUGCAAACUCGCGAGAGGGAGCCAAUCGCAAAAAUCCUGUCACAGUUCGGAUUGGAGUCUGCAACUCGACUCCAUGAAGCUGGAAUCGCUAGUAAUCGCGGAUCAGCACGCCGCGGUGAAUACGUUCCCGGGUCUUGUACACACCGCCCGUCACAUCACGAAAGUGGGCUGUGCUAGAAGCGGCCGAGCUAACCCCCGCAAGGGGGAGGCAGGUCGCCACGGCAUGGUCCAUGAU